rnacentral:rRNA from 1 species
UGAACGCUAGCUACAGGCUUAACACAUGCAAGUCGAGGGGCAGCAUUUUAGUUUGCUUGCAAACUGAAGAUGGCGACCGGCGCACGGGUGAGUAACACGUAUCCAACCUGCCGAUAACUCCGGGAUAGCCUUUCGAAAGAAAGAUUAAUACCGGAUAGCAUACGAAUAUCGCAUGAUAUUUUUAUUAAAGAAUUUCGGUUAUCGAUGGGGAUGCGUUCCAUUAGUUUGUUGGCGGGGUAACGGCCCACCAAGACUACGAUGGAUAGGGGUUCUGAGAGGAAGGUCCCCCACAUUGGAACUGAGACACGGUCCAAACUCCUACGGGAGGCAGCAGUGAGGAAUAUUGGUCAAUGGGCGAGAGCCUGAACCAGCCAAGUAGCGUGAAGGAUGAAGGCUCUAUGGGUCGUAAACUUCUUUUAUAUGGGAAUAAAGUUUUCCACGUGUGGAAUUUUGUAUGUACCAUAUGAAUAAGGAUCGGCUAACUCCGUGCCAGCAGCCGCGGUAAUACGGAGGAUCCGAGCGUUAUCCGGAUUUAUUGGGUUUAAAGGGAGCGUAGGUGGAUUGUUAAGUCAGUUGUGAAAGUUUGCGGCUCAACCGUAAAAUUGCAGUUGAAACUGGCAGUCUUGAGUACAGUAGAGGUGGGCGGAAUUCGUGGUGUAGCGGUGAAAUGCUUAGAUAUCACGAAGAACUCCGAUUGCGAAGGCAGCUCACUAGACUGUCACUGACACUGAUGCUCGAAAGUGUGGGUAUCAAACAGGAUUAGAUACCCUGGUAGUCCACACAGUAAACGAUGAAUACUCGCUGUUUGCGAUAUACAGUAAGCGGCCAAGCGAAAGCAUUAAGUAUUCCACCUGGGGAGUACGCCGGCAACGGUGAAACUCAAAGGAAUUGACGGGGGCCCGCACAAGCGGAGGAACAUGUGGUUUAAUUCGAUGAUACGCGAGGAACCUUACCCGGGCUUAAAUUGCAACAGAAUAUAUUGGAAACAGUAUAGCCGUAAGGCUGUUGUGAAGGUGCUGCAUGGUUGUCGUCAGCUCGUGCCGUGAGGUGUCGGCUUAAGUGCCAUAACGAGCGCAACCCUUAUCUUUAGUUACUAACAGGUUAUGCUGAGGACUCUAGAGAGACUGCCGUCGUAAGAUGUGAGGAAGGUGGGGAUGACGUCAAAUCAGCACGGCCCUUACGUCCGGGGCUACACACGUGUUACAAUGGGGGGUACAGAAGGCGGCUACCUGGUGACAGGAUGCUAAUCCCAAAAACCUCUCUCAGUUCGGAUCGAAGUCUGCAACCCGACUUCGUGAAGCUGGAUUCGCUAGUAAUCGCGCAUCAGCCAUGGCGCGGUGAAUACGUUCCCGGGCCUUGUACACACCGCCCGUCAAGCCAUGAAAGCCGGGGGUACCUGAAGUACGUAACCGCAAGGAGCGUCCUAGGGUAAAACUGG